UGCCAGCAGCCGCGGUAAUACGGAGGGGGUUAGCGUUGUUCGGAAUUACUGGGCGUAAAGCGCACGUAGGCGGAUUGGAAAGUUGGGGGUGAAAUCCCGGGGCUCAACCCCGGAACUGCCUCCAAAACUAUCAGUCUAGAGUUCGAGAGAGGUGAGUGGAAUUCCAAGUGUAGAGGUGAAAUUCGUAGAUAUUGGAAAGAAUACCAGUGGCGAAGGCGACUGGCUGGGCCAUUUUUGACGCUGAGAUACGAAAGCGUGGGUAGCAAACAGGAUUAGAUA
rnacentral:rRNA from 1 species